rnacentral:rRNA from 1 species
AGAGUUUGAUCAUGGCUCAGAACGUACGCUGGCGGCACGCCUAACACAUGCAAGUCGAACGCAGUAGCAAUACUGAGUGGCAAACGGGUGAGUAUAAUGUGGGAAUCUGCCUUUUGGUUUGGAAUAACACGAGGAAACUUGUGCUAAUACCGGAUAAGCCCUUACGGGGAAAGUUUUAACGCCGAAAGAUGAGCCCGCACUUGAUUAGCUAGUUGGUAAGGUAAUAGCUUACCAAGGCAACGAUCAAUAGCUGUUCUUAGAGGAAGACCAGCCACAUUGGGACUGAGACACGGCCCAAACUCCUACGGGAGGCAGCAGUGGGGAAUCUUGCACAAUGGGGGAAACCCUGAUGCAGCGAUGCCGCGUGAGUGAAGAAGGCCUUUGGGUUGUAAAACUCUUUCGUCGGGGAAGAAAAUGACUGUACCCGAAUAAGAAGGACCGGCUAACUUCGUGCCAGCAGCCGCGGUAAUACGAAGGGUCCUAGCGUAGUUCGGAAUUACUGGGCUUAAAGAGCUCGUAGGUGGUUAAAAAAGUUGAUGGUGAAAUCCCAAGGCUCAACCUUGGAACUGCCAUCAAAACUUUUUAGCUAGAGUAUGAUAGAGGAAAGUGGAAUUUCUAGUGUAGAGGUGAAAUUCGUAGAUAUUCGGAGGAACACCAGUGGCGAAGGCGGCUUACUGGCUCGAUACUGACGCUGAGGUGCGAAAGUGUGGGGAGCAAACAGGAUUAGAUACCCUGGUAGUCCACACCGUAAACGAUGAAUGCCAGACGUCAGCAAGUAUACUUGUUGGUGUCACACCUAACGGAUUAAGCAUUCCGCCUGGGGAGUACGGUCGCAAGAUUAAAACUCAAAGGAAUUGACGGGGGCCCGCACAAGCGGUGGAGCAUGUGGUUUAAUUCGAAGCAACGCGCAGAACCUUACCAACCCUUGACAUCCUGUGCUACUACCAGAGAUGGUACGUUCCCUUCGGGGACGCAGUGACAGGUGCUGCAUGGCUGUCGUCAGCUCGUGUCGUGAGAUGUUCGGUUAAGUCCGGCAACGAGCGCAACCCACAUCUUUAGUUGCCAGCAGGUUAAGCUGGGCACUCUAGAGAAACUGCCCGUGAUAAGCGGGAGGAAGGUGUGGAUGACGUCAAGUCCUCAUGGCCCUUACGGGUUGGGCUACACACGUGCUACAAUGGCAGUGACAAUGGGUUAAUCCCCAAAAGCUGUCUCAGUUCGGAUUGGGGUCUGCAACUCGACCCCAUGAAGUCGGAAUCGCUAGUAAUCGCGUAACAGCAUGACGCGGUGAAUACGUUCCCGGGCCUUGUACACACCGCCCGUCACACCAUGGGAGUUGGUUCUACCCGACGACGCUGCGCUAACCCUUCGGGGAGGCAGGCGGCCACGGUAGGAUCAGCGACUGGGGUGAAGUCAUAACAAGGUAGCCGUA